GAGGUAUUGUCUCAGACUUAGGAGUAGGGGAUAGUGUUGAGAUAAUUAUUAUGAUGCCUCGGGUUCAUGAACGGCCAGAUUACAUUUAAGUUAUUUUAAACUACUCUAAAUAUGUUCACUUCAAUCGAAGUUGUUCUAAGUAUAUCUAUGCUAAAGCUGAGCUACCUAGAACCUUACUCAUGCUGAGCUGAGUAUUAAGCAUUUUCUCACGCUAAUUUGAGUGCCUAUUUGUACUGUUCUCUAUGAGCCGAGCAAAAUUCACAAAGUCCACAGAUACAA
rnacentral:lncRNA from 1 species